UGCACCUACGGGGGGCAGCAGUGGGGGAUAUUGCACAAUGGAGGAAACUCUGAUGCAGCGACGCCGCGUGAGGGAUGAAGGUCUUCGGAUCGUAAACCUCUGUCAGCAGGGAAGAACGGUCACUGUGCUAAUCAGCAGUGAAUUGACGGUACCUGCAAAGGAAGCACCGGCUAACUCCGUGCCAGCAGCCGCGGUAAUACGGAGGGUGCGAGCGUUAAUCGGAAUUACUGGGCGUAAAGCGCUCGUAGGCGGUAUGUCAAGUCAAGGGUGAAAUCCCCGCGCUCAACGUGGGAACUGCCUUUGAA
rnacentral:rRNA from 1 species